GACGAACGCUGGCGGCGUGCCUAAUACAUGCAAGUAGAACGCAGUUGCGAAUGGGUGAGUAACGCGUAGGUAACUACCUAUUAGAGGGGGAUAACUAUUGGAAACGAUAGCACAUACCGCAUACUAGUAGAUGGACCUGCGUUGGAUUAGCUAGUAGGUAGGGUAAUGGCCUCCCUAGGCAAAGGAACAUAGCCGACCUGGAGAGGUGAUCGACCCACCCGGGACUGAGAAACGGCCCAGACUCCUACCGGAAGCAACAGUAGGGAAUCUUCGGCCAUGGGGGGAAACCUGAACGAGACACGCCGCGUUAGUGGAGAAGGUUUUCGGAUCGUAAAGCUCUGUUGUGAAGGAAGCGUUACUUGACCAAAAAGCAACGGCUAACUACGUGCCAGCAGCCGCGGUAAUAC
rnacentral:rRNA from 1 species